rnacentral:rRNA from 1 species
CAGCCGCCGCGGUAAUACGUAGGUGGCAAGCGUUGUCCGGAAUUAUUGGGCGUAAAGGGCUCGCAGGCGGUUUCUUAAGUCUGAUGCGAAAGCCCCCGGCUCAACCGGGGAGGGUCAUUGGAAACUGGGAAACUUGAGUGCAGAAGAGGAGAGUGGAAUUCCACGUGUAGCGGUAAAAUGCGUAGAGAUGUGGAGGAACACCAGUGGCGAAGGCGACUCUCUGGUCUGUAACUGACGCUGAGGAGCGAAAGCGUGGGGAGCGAACGGGAUUAGAUACCCCGGUAGUCCCUGUCUCUUAUAC